AUUGAACGCUGGCGGCAUGCCUUACACAUGCAAGUCGAACGGUAACGGGCCUUCGGGUGCCGACGAGUGGCGAACGGGUGAGUAAUGUAUCGGAACGUACCUUUCAGUGGGGGAUAACGUAGCGAAAGUUACGCUAAUACCGCAUAUUCUGUGAGCAGGAAAGCAGGGGAUCGCAAGACCUUGCGCUGAUUGAGCGGCCGAAAGCAGAUGAGCUAGUUGGUGAGGUAACGGCUCACCAAGGCUACGAUCUGUAGCGGGUCUGAGAGGAUGAUCCGCCACACUGGGACUGAGACACGGCCCAGACUCCUACGGGAGGCAGCAGUGGGGAAUUUUGGACAAUGGGCGCAAGCCUGAUCCAGCCAUGCCGCGUGAGUGAAGAAGGCCUUCGGGUUGUAAAGCUCUUUCGGCCGGGAAGAAAUCGUAUGGGCUAAUACCCUGUGCGGAUGACGGUACCGGCAUAAGAAGCACCGGCUAACUACGUGCCAGCAGCCGCCGUAACAC
rnacentral:rRNA from 1 species